CAGCUCGCUAGCCCUGCUAACUCCACAAGAAGAUUGACAGCUGACCGCUCUGACCAAUAGAAGGGGGAGGUGAGGGGGGAUAAAGGGACAGCCCCGUCUGGUCCACAGCUGGACAACAGGCGCCCUGCCAGUUUGCUUUGACAUCACUGGAGAGGCACCACAGCACAGCAUUCCUACUCAAACAGCCACAACACAUUUUUAAAGCUACUUGUUAUCCCUCUGGUGGAAGAUGAGCCAACACUGAGAAAGAUGAUUGAUAUCUCUAUUAAGGAACAAUAAAGCAACGCUGGGUGCCCCCAGCAGCUCAGCUGCCACUCAGAGCACAAGGAUCGUCGGUAGUCUCACUGAUGGUUUCCACCAGGAUGUGCAGCAGGGUGACACUGCACGAGUCCCAUAACGGAGACUAUAGGAGUCCUACGAGAAUUGACCCACGAAGGAACUCAAUUCCCCCAGCACAGACUCUUACAGCAAAACAUCUCCUGGCAUACCUCCCCAGACCAUCCAAAGAAUCAAGAAUCAACACAACCUUAUAUCCAAAGGUUUCAGCAGAAGACAACGUGGCUGUGACAAUGCUUAACUCCAGAAGAGUCAACCCCAGCUCAAAUAACAAAGACUACAACAACUUCCCUGCUGUGCCACCCCAGCCCGCCCCCCCUGUGCCACCCCAUCCCGCCCCCGCUGUGCCACCCCAUACCGCACCCCCUGCCCCACCCCAGACGCGGCUCCAGAGCCCAGACCCCGGUCAGGUUGUUCCAGGAUUGGUCAGGCGGGAGGUGGACACCUGCCAGUACAUCAUUCCUACUGAGGAGUCAGAGGCAAUCUUUCCUCACCAUCCUUACCGUGGACGCCACUUCAAGCGUUUUAGCUCCAGGUGGCAUUCAGGCGCUCCCUUUGGUGGCCCCUUUGGUACCACCAGUAGCCAUAGCCACAGGACGACGGGUCAGAACAGGCCCCACAUGCCUCACUGCAAACUUAUCGGAGAUGAGAGGCCAAAUUAUGGCACCGCCAACAAGCAGCGCCAACGCUACGUCACCAAAGACGGGAAGUGUCGUGUGAACCUGGGCCCCAUCGAGGACAAGACCCGGUACCUGUCAGACAUCUUCACCACUCUGGUGGACCUAAAGUACCGCUGGUUCCUCUGUGUGUUUACCCUGUGCUACAUUGUCACGUGGGUGGCCUUUGCUGAGAUCUACUUCAUAGAUGCCUGGCUGCGGGACGACGUGGCCCACGUCCACGACCCAAAGUGGCGGCCAUGCUUUGAGAACGUGGACAGUUUCAUUUCUGCGCUGCUUCUGUCCGUGGAGAGCCAGAGGACCAUUGGCUAUGGCUCCAGGUUGGUGACGGCCAAUUGCAUGGAGGGAGUGGUUCUCCUCAUGGCCCAGUCAAUCAUCGGCUCCAUCAUUGACGCCCUCAUGGUGGGAUGCAUGUUCGUCAAAAUCUCCCGGCCUCAGAAAAGGGCCCAGACUCUGAUCUUCAGCAAGCACUGUGUCAUAUCAGAGCGUGACGAGAAACUCUGCCUCCUCUUCCGCAUUGGAGACUUGAGGGCGAGUCAUAUGGUGGACGCCAAGAUCCGAGCCAAGCUGAUCAAGUCCAGACAGACCAAGGAAGGGGAGUUCAUACCGCUGGAGCAGUCAGAGAUCAACCUGGGCUACGAUACUGGAGGAGACCGGCUCCUGUUGGUCGAGCCUCAGACUAUCACCCAUGUCAUCAACGAGACCAGUCCAUUCUGGGAAAUUGGGGCUGAGCGCCUGACAAGGGAGAGAUUUGAGAUCAUUAUCAUCCUAGAGGGGAUAGUGGAGGCAUCAGGUAUGACAUGCCAAGCCAGAACCUCCUACACUGAGGAUGAGAUUCUGUGGGGCCACCGAUUUGAAUCGUGCAUGUCCCUGGAAAAGGGGUCUUACUGUGUGGACCAUAGUGCAUUUGACAAAACCUUUCCUGUACAAACCUCCACCCUUAGUGCUAAAGAGAAGAGUAUUGAAAAAGAGGCGGCCCUCUUUUAGAUAAAAAGACGAUAAUAUUUACUAUGAAAUAAAUUAUUUUGUUGCAGCGAUCAAUAAUGAACUCAUGAUCUUAAAUAACAAAAUGUUUUGUCAAGAUCACAAUAUGACCUCUAUGAAUAGGAGUGGAUCUAUUCAUGAUAAAAGACAUGAUGGCUGAGGAAGCAGAAACCUUGGUGGCUCAGCGUGUGUUUUAUUUUGGUCAGAGACAUUUUGUAUUGGCCAUUUUAAUGUAGAAUAAUAAUUGUAGAAUAAUCAGUAAAAAUGUCCACAGUUGUGCCCUUGUGUAAGACACUUAAACCCCCAGCUGUUCCAGGAGCUCCACUGCAGCUGACACCUAUACUGCUUCCACUAUUUUGUGUAUUUGUGGUCCUAAGGGAGUUGUAAUAAAUGACAGGCUCAAAGG